GGUCCCUAUCUGUUGUGGGCGUUGGAAAUUUGAGAGGAUCUGACUUUAGUACGAGAGGACCGAGUUGGACGAACCUCUAGUGUACCAGUUGUUUUGCCAAGAGCAUCGCUGGGUAGCUAUGUUCGGAAAGGAUAAGUGCUGAAAGCAUCUAAGUACGAAACCUGCCUCAAGAUUAGAUUUCCUUAUAGGGAGGUUGAAGAUUACGACCUUGAUAGGUUACAGGUGUAAAGGCAGUAAUGUCAAAGCCGAGUAAUACUAAUAACCCGAAAUCUUUCCUCAA
rnacentral:rRNA from 1 species